rnacentral:rRNA from 1 species
GGUGAGUAAUACGUGAGUAACCUGCCCUUGACUCUGGGAUAAGCCCGGGAAACUGGGUCUAAUACUGGAUGCUACAUGUCACCGCANGGUGGUGUGUGGAAAGGGUUUACUGGUCUUGGAUGGGCUCACGGCCUAUCAGCUUGUUGGUGAGGUAAUGGCUCACCAAGGCGACNACNGGUAGCCGGCCUGAGAGGGUGACCGGCCACACUGGGACUGAGACACGGCCCANACUCCUACGGGAGGCAGCAGUGGGGAAUAUUGCACAAUGGGCGAAAGCCUGAUGCANCGACNCCNCGNGAGGGAUGACGGCCUUCGGGUUGUAAACCUCUUUCAGCAGGGAAGAAGCCACAAGUGACGGUACCUGCAGA